rnacentral:lncRNA from 1 species
AAAAAAAAAAAAAAAAAAAAUGAAAAAAAAAAAAAAAAAAAAAAAAAGAGAAAAAAGAGUUCAUGUUUAUAUCUCAUUCAGUAGAUUUGAUUUAGACAUUUUAUUUUUAUUUUGUGUACUAGAGAUGAUGCUUUGUUUUAAUUUAGGGUUAGUGUUUGAGAUUUGUUGGGUUUUGAUCAUUUGAGACUUGAGCAGUUCG